GUGGAGCCAACCUUGAAAUACCACCCUUUAAUGUUUGAUGUUCUAACGUUGCCCCAUUAUCUGGGGUGCGGACAGUGUCUGGUGGGUAGUUUGACUGGGGCGGUCUCCUCCCAAAGAGUAACGGAGGAGCACGAAGGUUGGCUAAGCAUGGUCGGACAUCAUGCGGUUAGUGCAAAGGCAUAAGCCAGCUUGACUGCGAGAGUGACGGCUCGAGCAGGUACGAAAGUAGGUCUUAGUGAUCCGGUGGUUCUGAAUGGAAGGGCCAUCGCUCAACGGAUAAAAGGUACUCCGGGGAUAACAGGCUGAUACCGCCCAAGAGUUCAUAUCGACGGCGGUGUUUGGCACCUCGAUGUCGGCUCAUCACAUCCUGGGGCUGAAGUAGGUCCCAAGGGUACGGCUGUUCGCCGUUUAAAGUGGUACGCGAGCUGGGUUUAGAACGUCGUGAGACAGUUCGGUCCCUAUCUGCCGUGGGCGUUGGAAGAUUGAAAGGGGCUGCUCCUAGUACGAGAGGACCGGAGUGGACGCACCACUGGUGUUCGGGUUGUCAUGCCAAUGGCAUUGCCCGGUAGCUAAGUGCGGAAGAGAUAACCGCUGAAAGCAUCUAAGCGGGAAACUUGCC
rnacentral:rRNA from 1 species